UACAGAGGCCCCAAGCGUUACUGAGAAUCACUGGGUUUAAAGGGUGCGUAGGUGGCGCGUUAAGUCCGUUGUGAAAUCCCUGGGCUCAACCCAGGAAAUGCUUCGGAUACUGGCGUGCUUGAGGCUAGUAGGGGUCACUGGAACUGACGGUGGAGCGGUGAAAUGCGUAGAUAUCGUCAGGAACGCCAAUGGUGAAGACAGGUGACUGGGCUAGAUCUGACACUGAGGCACGAAAGCGUGGGGAGCGAACCGG
rnacentral:rRNA from 1 species